GAGGCUUGCGAGAGUAUCCACCGCCACCUCACCAGAGUUACACUUUCAGUAGGUUUUCUGUAACGGGAUAGUAGGUAAGCCGGGCCAAGCCGAACUGGAAAAGCAAAACAACAGGCUUAUUUGAGAAAGCAACUGCCAGUGUUGUGAAGAGACACCAUGACCACAGCAACUCUUAUGAAGGAAAACAUUUAAUUGGGGCUGGCUUACAGUUCAAAGUUUCAGUCCAUUGUCGUCAUGGCGGGAAGCACGUUGGCACACAGGAAGACCUGACGCAUGAGAAGUAGCUGAGAGUUCCACAUCAGAACCGGCAGGCAGCAGGAAGAGGGAGACACUGGACCUGGUUUGACCAUCUGAGACAUCAAAGCCCACUACCAGUGACACACUUCCUCCAACAAGGCCACACCUCCUAAUAGAGCCACUCCCUAAUGGCCUAUGGGGGCCAUGUUCAUUCAAACCAUCAUAGUAUUCCACUCCUAUUCUUGGGAGUGCUUUCCUUUCUUAAUAAACUGAAUCUCAGAACCUUAUCACACUUUCUUUCAAGCUCUGUCCCCUUCUGUCUGCCUGCCAUGCAACUCCAUUGAUAGAUACGCCUAUUGGUAUCCUGGCAUUGUGCUGACCCCGCCCAUUGACAACUGGCAGGGUCUGCAUGCCCACAUUCAGGCAGAUGCUUUGACAGCUCAAAUGUCCCUGUGUUGCGUGGCUACUUCGUGUGUUACAUGGCUGUGUAGGGAAUCUGUGUGUGUGUGCAGGCUUUCCCUUUCAAGCGAGUGCCUGGAGCCUGUUUUUGUCCUUCUACUCUUCCUUCCCCAUCCCCCUUCCAUCUCUGCUCCUGGUUGGUCAACACCUACCCCUUCCUUUCUGCUCCCUUUCUGCAAUAAACUCCAUGUGGGUCUUGUGA